UUUAAAAUGUAUGUAUAUGAGUGUGUGUCAAAAAAUAGAAAAAAGUGGAAAAGAAAAGAUAGAGAGAAGCAUAUGCUUAGCUUCCCAGGGACAGAGUUUCAAAUAUUUCUUCAAAAUGGGUGUUUCGAUUCAUCAUAGAGGAAUGGUUCUUCUUCUUGUCAUCUCAAUUUUUCUACUCCUUCAAACGGGUAAGGUCUCAAGUCUAAGGUGGGAGAGAGAUACGAAGCUGCAGCUUCUGUCUGUUCAUCCUUCGCGUGUUCUUGAAGAGUCAUCAUCAUCAAAGCAUGGAAGUAUAGAUACAAAUCGAGACUUGGCGCCUUCUCCUUCCGUUAUGUCUGUUCCAAAUGAAUCUGUAAAAAGAAUGAUUGGAAGAGGAUCCGAUCCUAUACACAACAGAUGCUAAGAUUAUUCUAGAAGGAAGAAACAAUGUUUUGUUUCUGGAAGUAAAUGCUAGCCUAGUCUAUAUUCUGCCUCUGCAGUCUCAGUUACUUCUAAAAAUAUGUUAUCAUUUGUUUCUUAAUCAUUUAAGGGUUUAAGUGUAUAUUGAAUCCUUGUCAUUUAAAUCGUGUUUUUUUUCAUUAUAUAUCGUUUGUUUGAUGAGUUGUACGUUGAAUAUACAAGACUUUGAUUUGUUC